UACGAAGGGGACUAGCGUUGUUCGGAAUUACUGGGCGUAAAGCGCACGUAGGCGGAUUUGUUAGUCAGGGGUGAAAUCCCAGGGCUCAACCUCGGAACUGCCUUUGAUACUGCAAGUCUCGAGUCCGAUAGAGGUGGGUGGAAUUCCUAGUGUAGAGGUGAAAUUCGUAGAUAUUAGGAAGAACACCGGUGGCGAAGGCGGCCCACUGGAUCGGUACUGACGCUGAGGUGCGAAAGCGUGGGGAGCAAACAGG
rnacentral:rRNA from 1 species